AUGUUUAUUCUUCCAGAAGCUCCAGCUCUCUUCUGCAGAGCUCCCCGGGUUCAAGCAGCUGUCUGUGGGCGAGUGGUAUUCAGUCAGUUUCAAUCUGCAAUCCUGGAGGCCACUGAAUCUUCCAUGUUGGUCCUUCUGUGGACCUUCUGUGGAAUACCAACCAUGAUGAUGAUGUUUCUUCUUCUUCCAGGUAAAGAUAUGAGAAAGGCUAAAUUGUCGCGGAGUCGAUCCCUCAGCAGUCAGCCAACAACGUCCAAAUCUACCAACUCAGACCGACCCCUGAAGGUGAAAGAGCUAAGCAGUAGUUCUGUACCUGGGAAGUCCUCAAUGUUGUCGAGCAAAGACGACUCCCUGAGGACAGCCCACUUCACCAUGGCAACCCAGUCCACCUCCUCCAUGCCGGUCCUGAUCCGCAGCAACACCACCAGCCUCCUGGACAGGGCCAGCACGCUGGACCACAGAACCGGCACCCUAGACCAGAGGGAUCAUAGAACCAUUACUCUGGACCACAGAGCCAGUAACAUGGACCAGAGAGACCACAGAACCAGUAACAUGGACCAGAGAGACCACAGAACCAGUAACACGGACCACAGGAACAAUAUGAUGGAGCAGAGAACCGGUACAAUGGACCACAGAACCAGUACCCUGGACCAGAGAGACCAUAGAACCAAUACCCUGGACCAGAGAGACCAUAGAACCAGUACCCUGGACCAGAGAGACCAUAGAACCAGUACCUUGGACCAGCGCAGUAAAACGAUGGACCGUGGCUGCGGGGUGAAGGACAGCCAGUCCAGAAAGCUGUCGAUGUGAGUUCUUGUUCUCAUGGUAGACCUCAAUAUGAGUUAAGGUAACCCCUGAGACCAGGUCCAGGGGUACCCUAUCAACAGUAGUUCAAAGAGGGUCAAGAAAACCCUCAGUACUCAUUUAAUAAGACCUGGGCCUAGACCUGAUGGUCUUUUGUGGUUCCACUAUUAGAAUCCAGGGCUGGGUACAGAACUUUAGUGCUUUGAUGGCACUGACCUAAUGGUGUUGAAACUACAGAAAGACAGACAGACAGACAGACAGACAGACAGAGUUAUGCUAGUUGUUAGCAGUGCAGCUAACCUGUAUCUGCUCGUCAGUGAGUCCGUUCAUCGUCCUCUGGGAUGCAAACUGUGGUGCAUCCUCUCCUCGCCACAGCGGAGAGCAGAGCAACAGGUAAAAGAGCCGGGUAGCUGGUCUCUACCUCAGAGACAGGAAGAGGUCUCACUCUGACAAUAUUUCCUAGAACCAUGAACGUCCCCACACAGUCAGUCCCUUCUCCUUCUUGUUUUUUGGGUCAGAUUAGAUGUUUUGCUUCCAUACUGUUUGCUAUAAAUGUUCCUUUCACAGUUAUUUUAGUUUCAUACAGUCCAAUACUGAACAUAUAUUACGUUUAUUAAUUGUUAUAGUUGUAUAUGUCACUAAUGACUAUAAUUAUAAUAUUUAAUGUCACUAAUGUCUAUAAUGUAAAUCAGCACCCAGCCCUAGCUCUAUCCCAGUCUUAACCCCCUUUAAUCCGGUUUAAUCCGGUUUAAUCCAGUUUAAUCCAGACUUUAUUCUGGCCCAGGACUGAAAGUUUUAAUGAUUUUUUUUCUUUUCUGAUCUACAGAAACAGGAAGUCAAACUCUUUCAGCGUCCAGUCAGGACGAGACUGAAGAUGACAAUGUCAUACCUCCACCAGGCCAUCAGCCGAUCAACAGUCAGGGAGCGGUUUCCAUUCAAACAGCAGCUUCACGAGUUAAAGGACGAAACACGCUUCAGAACAUUACCCAGAAUGCAACAGGACUGCCUCCUCUGUACCUCACAGAGACUGCUUUUAUUUUCUCAGCACUGUGUAUCCAACGAGCUCAUCCUGUCACCUGAUUGGUUCAGUAAAUGCCUCAUACAAACUGCUACUGUGUUCUUAUUGGUUGUCUGGAUAUGAUGUCACUGCGGAUGUUUAUGAACACAUCAGAGAUUGAGAAGAUUUUAAUGUUUAAUAUUUUACAGUAUACAGACGGUAGCACGGUUUGUUUUGUGAGUACAAAUACUUUGUUACUUCACUUAAAGGGACAUUGUGUAGUGUUUUAAGUAUUGUAUUAGCUAAAAUCAAUGUUUUCAUUCAUAAAUGUGUCCUCAUUGGUGUAAAAUUACCUCUGCCAAUGAUCUGACUUAUCCUCGUAAGGGAAGAAUUUCUUAUCUGUAUAUACAUUGGACGGGCAAGUCCAUGGAGGCUUCCAUGUCGUACCGCCAUUUUGAAAAACUAUAAUCACCGAGAGGGACAUAAAGCACUAGCCUACCUGUCUAACUAAUCCACAACGCGUUCUCGUUCAGAGCCAGCGUCACGUGACUGAAACCAGCUAUAACGGAGAAGGAGAUCAGUGAGAGGCGCUUGUCACUGCCCGGCACAUUUGAAAGUCUGCACUGCACUUUAGUUAAUAAUGGAGGAUCAUACUUAUGCCGAGCCACAGGAGAAGGAAUCCUCGUCACCAACAAAGCCAAAAAGGGAAUUAAAAAGGCAAUGUGACCGCCAAAUUCAAAAAACGAGGGUAAACAUCGGGGUAGCUUUUCCCAGGUGGAAAGAGCUAAUGAAGGAGAAAGACUUUCAAAGGGACGCUGAAGUUGCCUGCUUUCUCCUCCACAGGUAGGCUUCUUGGUACAUAACAGCUACCGUAGUUGCAAUACGCAUUUGAAAACCUGAGGCACUAGAGAGCACUAUUCGUUUGAAUGCAAAAUACAAUUUCACCACUAGAUGGGAGAAAUUCCUACACAAUGUCCCUUUAAGUAGUUUAUUUUCAGGUUUCUGAACUUUUUACACAAAUAUCUGAACUUUCUAGUGUUUACAGUUUCAGAACAGACUGAGAGAAUUAUUGAUUAUUAUUAUUUUAUUUUAUAUCAUUGAUUGGCAUCCAAACAUGGAGACGAGUUCUUAUGAACUUAUUUCACAAACAACCGGCAGAAGAAAUGUUGUACUUUUCGCAGUAGCUGUUUACAUCAGUUACUAAAUGAACAUCAUGCUGUAUGGAAGAAGACUGAAACUAGAGACUGAGACCAGAAACUCAUCAGGAAACUGUUUACUGAGCUCAUACAUCUCCAUAAGACUCAAUACUAUCAGAGUGGAGCUGCCCUCUGCUGGCUGUUAGAGAGAAUGCAGGUUAAAUUUAAACUGUCAGUGGAUAAAGCCCGAAGGCCCAGAGAGGAAAUACAUUUAUACUUCAAUUUAUAUAAGUUAUAUAACUACUUCUUAUAUAGUAUCUAUCGUAGUAUCGAUACUAAUAUAACUUAUAUAGUAGUACUAAUAUAACUUAUAUAGUAGUACUAAUACUAAUAUAACUUUUAUAGUAGUACUAAUACUA
rnacentral:lncRNA from 15 species